CCUACGGGUGGCAGCAGUGGGGAAUAUUGCACAAUGGGGGAAACCCUGAUGCAGCGACGCCGCGUGAAGGAAGAAGUAUUUCGGUAUGUAAACUUCUAUCAGCAGGGAAGAAAAUGACGGUACCUGACUAAGAAGCCCCGGCUAACUACGUGCCAGCAGCCGCGGUAAUACGUAGGGGGCAAGCGUUAUCCGGAUUUACUGGGUGUAAAGGGAGCGUAGGCGGUUUAGCAAGUCAGAAGUGAAAGCCCGGGGCUCAACUCCGGGACUGCUUUUGAAACUGUUGAACUAGAGUGCAGGAGAGGUAAGUGGAAGUCCUAGUGUAGCGGUGAAAUGCGUAGAUAUGAGGAGGAACACCAGUGGCGAAGGAGGCUUACUGGACUGUAAAUGACGCUGAGGCUCGAAAGCGUGGGGAGCAAACAGGAUUAGAUACCCGUGUAGUC
rnacentral:rRNA from 1 species